UACGUAGGGGGCAAGCGUUGUCCGGAUUUAUUGGGCGUAAAGAGCGUGUAGGCGGCCAGACAGGUCAGCUGUGAAAACUCGAGGCUCAACCUCGAGACGUCGGUUGAAACCGUCUGGCUAGAGUCCGGAAGAGGAGAGUGGAAUUCCCGGUGUAGCGGUGAAAUGCGCAGAUAUCGGGAAGAACACCCGUGGCGAAGGCAGGUCUCUGGGCCGAUACUGACGCUGAGGAGCGAAAGCGUGGGGAGCGAACAGG
rnacentral:rRNA from 1 species